rnacentral:lncRNA from 1 species
CAAUAGGGACAAAUGUAAGGUUCUGCACUCAGGCAGGAAUAAUCAGAUGCACACAUAUAGGAUGGGGUUGACAGCAAUCCAUGUAAAAUGGAUCUAGGGGUCUUAGCAGACCAUAAGCUUAACAUGAGCCAACAGUGUGAUGCAGCAGCAAAAAUAUAAAUAAGUAAAUAAAGUAAUGGUGGUGGUGGUGGUGAUGAUGAUGAAGAUGCAAUUGGAGGCUGCAUCAACAGAAUUUAAGUGUCCAGGCCAAGGGAAUAGUAGUACUAUUUUGUUCUGCCUUGCUCAGACCCUCACCUGGAGUUGUGUGUCCAGUUCUGGUCACCACACACAUUUAAGAAGGAUUUUGACAAGCUGGAAUGUGUUCAGAGGAGGGUGGCCAAGAUGACCAAGGGUCUGGAAGCCAAGCUUUAGGAGGAACAUUUGAGGGAGUUGGGUCUGUUUAGUCUGGAGGACAGAAGACUUGGAGGUGAUGAGAGCCAUCAGAUAUCUGAAGGGCUGUGAGAUGGUGGCAAGCUUGUUUUCUGCUGUUCCAGAGGAUAGAACUGGGCUCUAGUAUUAGGAGUUGGGGGGAUUCUGCACACUAUGUAUAAUUUUGUAUACUUCUUCCCCCCCCUUUUUUCUAAACUAAGAGGAAGUGCUUUUGCCUUUCCUAGUAAGCUGGAACAUUUGUGAACAUUUAAUUGAUAGGUCAAUUGACCCAAACUCAUAUGAUUAAUCAAUUAAAAUCAUUUUAUUGGGUUGUACAUGUACACGUGCACACACACAUAUUGAAUUAUCCCAGAUAGCUGAGCAUCUGGUGUCCUGAUGUUUUGAAAAUCUCUCAGUGCCAAAUUAUUCCCCCCUCUGAGUCAGAGCCAUCCAGCCAUUAACAAAUGUCACAGUGUAUAGUAGCAAAUCUCUACAACUGACUGAUCCUUGCAAUGGGGGUAACAUUAAUCUUUUUAGUAUAGAUUUUCAAUAGUUAACCAUCUGGCAACGUGUACUUUUCCCAGGAAGUUUUCUUUGCUAAGGCCAUCAGGGAAAAAGACAGUUCUGCUAAAUGAAGAGAGAGCUCAUUUUGAGGAGUGUUCACUUACAAGGUUGGGCUAGGGAUGCUUCUGCCCAGAAUCCCUGAGAGGUUGUGAGGAUUCUCAGGAGAAGGCCAAUAGUCUACUCACACUAUUGGAUGAAUACAAACAGAGACGUGGGAGAAAUUCUGUUUUGUUUGCACUUAAAUGAGAAACCACCCAAGUCACCAACCAAGCACUGCUAUCUUUCAAAAUCUGCACUUCCCCAAAUUUUGUGAUGCAGUUCUUCAGCAAAGAAACAUGUACAAAAAUAUGCAUGCAUUAGAAGAAAACGUGUUUAAAAAUGCAUGCAUUGGUGAAAAUAACAUGCAUUACAUUGAGGAAUUUCUUGCAAAAAUGUGCACGUUAGACAAAAGUGCAUACGAAAGAUGUACAGUACAAUAAUUAGAAGAAAUUCACAUUAAUAUCCUGUCAAGUUUCCAUAAGGAAGUUUAUUUUAUUUGCAAAUGCCUGCAGAAAAGUGGAGAACCAAAUUUACAACUGGGGAAAAGCAAGAAACAGAGAGAAACCAAAAACUGACAGAUUCCCCCAUCUCUAAAUAUGUUGGUUGCUAUUCAACCAACUUUUACUCUGAGUUGAACUUGAUGGGCAUGACUAAGUUAUGUCUAUUAAUUUCAGUAAGUCUACACGGAAUAAAACUUAGCUGAAUACCACCAACUGGCAAUUUUACCCACCAAGAAGCAAAAAGAACAAAAUAGUUAUGUAUGGCCAACCAAGAGUCCAACAGCUGCAUCCUCUGGGACAGUCUUCCCUUACCAAUGUCCUGACUGAGGAUGAUAGAAGUUGCCAUCCAAAACAUCUAAAGGGCAUCAGGUUGGGAAAGGCUGCUCUGAGAUAUUAUUGGGCCAUUCUGCUGACUGUUGCUUCUAGCUUUGUUUAUUCUACUUGACAGGGCGGUGGGGAGAGAUGGUGCCCCUCCCCAUACCUAGUGCCACAUAAUACUACUAGAUGGAAACAUUUAUUGAAAGAAGUGCUUUCAAAUUACAUGCAGAUGAAAGCAGUUGCUGGAAUAAAUCAAAAGCAGGAUGUGCUUUCCUCUAGCAGGAUUGCUGUUCCUAAUCUUGCCAAUCUCUCAGUUGCUUUAAAAAAACAAACAUUAUUUAUUUGGAAUCAUGAGCUUGAAUCCAGUGCUAAUCACACUCACAGUAGAGCCCUUGAAGUUACAGUAUCGCUCUAUUCUGCCUUGGUCAGACCACACCUGGAAUACUGUGUUCAGUUCUGGGUGCCACAAUUUAAGAAGGAUAUUGACAAGCUGCGACUUGUUUAGAGGAGGGUGACCACGUUGAUCAUGGGUCUGGAAAUGAAGCCUUAUGAGGAAUGGUUGAGGGAGCUGGGUAUGUUUAGCCUGGAAAAGAUAGCCAUCUUCAAAUAUCUAAAGGGCUGUCAUAGGGAAGAUGGAGCAAGCUUGUUUUCUCCUGCUCUGGACAGAAGGACCUGAACUAAUGGAUUCAAGUUACAAGAAAGGAGAUUCCAACUAACACCAGGAGGAACUUUCUGAUUGUAAAAGCUGUUCAACAGUGGAACAGACUCCCAUGAGAAGUGGUGGACACCCUUCAUUGGUGAGCUUUUAAGCAGAGAUUGGAUGGCCAUCUGUCUUGUAUGAUCUACAGUACUUGAGGUUCCUGCAUAAAGUCAUAGAAUUGUAGAGUUUGGACCCGAGGGUCAUCUAGUCUAACCCCCUGCAAUACAAGAAUUCUUUGCCCAAUGUGGGGCUCAGGCCCAUUACCCUGCGAUUAAGAGUCUCAUGCUCUACCAACUUGCAGUGUUGGACUAGAUGACCCUUAGGUGCCCUUCCAACUUGACAAUUUUGAUUCUAUUGUUUUAAGUUAACGGACAUGGCUAAAAUGUCAAUUAGUUCUUAUGGGUCUACUCUAAGUAGAACUUGGCUGGAUAUACUUAGUUGAAUUUUUUAUUUUUAUUUUACUGCACUCAUGUGUAACUUUUAUCCCAUGGCCCUCAUGCAUGAGGUUCCCUUAUAGUCUAUGCCACUCAGGCACUGAUAAGAGACCUGAUCUGCUUAUCUCCAGUAAGGUGAUCUCAUGUAUCUUUGAGGUCCAGGCAGUGGCAUAGGAAGGGCUAAACAUCCCAUCUCUCUCUUCUCUCCUCUGGCUUCUGAGUCAAUGUCAUAAAGAGAAAGAGGGAGAGAGAAUGGAUAAUAUUAUCAAGAAAAUUCCCUCUUAUGACUGACAAUCCUGGCAUUACAACAAAGUUGAAACUUAAUGAAAAAUCAGACUCUGAAGCGCCGGCUUUAGGGAUAUAUUGGAAUAUGAAUUGGUAUAUAUUGUAUUAAAAAUUCGACAGAGCAAAUCUGUUCUGCUUUAGCCAGGCUGGAGAUUUGGGGCUCAGGAAGAUAAAGGUUCUUUCCUCUGCACUGUCAGUAGUUUGAUAUGUGUGACCUUGGGGAAAUCACUUAGGUUGCCUGUGGUUGUCUAUGUGGACCAUGGUUUUGUCUUGUUUCCCUCCUGCAUCGAAGCCACAGUACUUGGCCCAAUUUGCACAUGUUGAACUGGGCAUGUGGGUGAGGUCAGAUUAUGGGCAGGCAGAGUUAUAAAAGCAUAAAUUGUGUAAAGCAAGGCUGGAGAAGCUCAGGCUGAGGGCCUCCAGACCUCUCUAACUGCCCCCUGGGAAUCUCCCCAGCCCUAUUUCAAGUCCUCCUCAAGUGUGCUUUGCCUUAUAGGGUGUGUAUUUAAACUCUGAAAGUGCUUCUUGCUUCCCUGACUGGAGGGCAAAAUGCAGAGCAGCUUCUGCAAAUAACUCAUGGACACCCAGUGAAGGAAGAGUCAUGUUGGAAGAGUCAUCGAGGUCACUUAACCCCACAUGUGCCCAUCAGAGGUAUUGGCACUACUACAGGUGCCCCAUUAUACCAACUCAAGACCACAAUACCUGAAGGACCCCUUCUCCCAACAGAAACCAACCCAGGCUCUGCAUUCAUCAUCUGAGGACCUCCUUAGUGUGUCUCCUCCAUGAGAAAUCUGGGGUGUGUGGCUAUACGAGAAUGGGCCUUUUCUGCAGUGGCUCCUUGUUUGUGGAAUGCUUCUUUUAAGUAAAUAAAAGAAGUGCAGGAGUAGGUCCUGGGGUUAUCAUCUGAAGUCUUGCUAGAUCUGAGAAGUCUUGGAUCUAAAGAAAAGGGUGUGGUUCCUGCUUUUCACAGAGAAGAUUCUGGUUUCAGUCCCUGGCAUUUCCAGAUGGAGUUGAGGGAAGAUUGCCUGACCACAAACCCUGGCGAGAUGUUGCCUCUGGUCAGUGCAGACAAUACUCAGCUAGGUAGACCAAUAGUCUGACUUGGUACAAGGCAGCUUCCUAUGUUGCUAUAUUAUUAUUCUCAUCAUAAUUAUUAGCAGCAGCACGUUCUCCAGACAAAAUGAUUGCAUUAAUGCUGGCACAUCGCAUUGCUUACCUUUCAUAGCUUGGUACAAUUUUCAUAAACUGCAAAAGAAACGUCCAUCUGUAAGAAGGGGAGGGGAGAAGAAGAAGAAAAAGAAGAAGGGGGGAAAAAACAUGACACAGAAUUAGAGUUUUCAGAAGAUUAUUAUAUAGACAUUAUUUCCCUCAGGUCACAAGCUUUAGUCAAAUUUGGAAGAGAAUGGAAUUGCCAGCAGUGAAAAAAGCAGACGGAAAGGUAUGAGUUCAUGAGCAGCGAAAUAACAUUUUCAUUUGUUCCUUCCCCAUGGGAAAGAUUCAACAUUCUGGUAAAUGGAGACGGUUAUAAGAAAUGAAUUUUUGUCAGCGGGGAAGUGAUUUUAAGGCUCACUUAUCCAUUGGCAAUCUAGAUUUCUAACCCCAGGAAUCUAGGAAAUUGCUACAGAAUGUAGUCUUUAUUAUAAACAAUGUUUCCCCCCCCCCUUUCACUCUUUUUUGGUUUGGAGACCUACAUUUCAGCGCACGUCUUGGGGAGGAGGGGGAGACCAGAGGUCCAGACCACUCUGGGAUUACACAAUACGGCAUUCAAAGCAUCUCUUUGAAUUGAUCUGGGGUAUUGCAGAGUAACCCUUCUGUUCCAGAGCUGCUUUGGUCUUCCCAACAAGGUAGUGACUGGGAAAGGCAAGUACCACCUGCAUUUGUCCUUCCAAGUUUCUACCUUUGCAAGACUCUACUCCAUUGACCCUUUAUUUAUCUUUGUGUUUUCUUUAUCUAAGUGGGCUGGGAGGGAUGCUAAAGCUGCUGGUUUGUACAACGGUUAUGGACACUGACCUACACAUCUUAAUUGCUUCCAGAUCUGGCAUGAAGUGAGCCAGGGAGUUAUAGCGGGUGCCCAUUUUGUAAAGAAAAGACACAGAAGCUAAUCACAGAAUUUUAGAGUUAGGAGGGACUUGGAGGGGCAUCUGAUUCAGCCUACUCCUGCUCAGUGAAGGAAUCUACAACAUAUCUGAAAGAUGGCUGCCCAGAUAAUACUAGGAGUAAGCAUUUUCCCCAAACAAUUUCAGGUUCAUCUUUCAAAAAUACAAGAAAGGAACAUGGGGAAGAACUUGCUGGUGGUAAGAACUGUUUGGCAGUGGAAUGCACUCCCUUGGAAAGUGGUGGAACCUUCUUCCAUGGAGGUUUUUUGGGGGGCCAUUGUCAGGGAUUCCUUAGCUGCAAUUCCUGCUAUUGCAGGGGGUUCGACUAGAUGACCCUUGUACAUUCAAGCUGUACAACUCUAUGAUUCUAUGAAAUUUGCAGUUCCCUGAAUUUUCGGUGUAGUUCUCCAGCCCUGUAAUGUGCAGAAAACUGCAUGCAUGAAGGGGGAAGUCUGCAUCCAUAUGUAUAUUGUCAUG